AACGAACGCUGGCGGCGUGCCUCAGACAUGCAAGUCGAACGAGUAAGACUUCCCUCGGGAGGUGCAUAAAGUGGCGCACGGGUGAGUAACACGUAAGUAAUCUACCCUCGAGUGGGGAAUAACGUUCGGAAACGAACGCUAAUACCGCAUAACGCAGCGGCACCGCAAGGUGACAGUUGUUAAAGGAGCAGUCCGCUUGAGGAGGAGCUUGCGGCAGAUUAGUUAGUUGGUAAGGUAAUGGCUUACCAAGGCUACGAUCUGUAUCCGGUCUAAGAGGACGGUCGGACACACUGACACUGAAUAACGGGUCAGACUCCUACGGGAGGCAGCAGUCGGGAAUUUUGGGCAAUGGGCGAAAGCCUGACCCAGCAACGCCGCGUGAAGGAUGAAGUAUUUCGGUAUGUAAACUUCGAAAGAAUGGGAAGAAUAAAUGACGGUACCAUUUAUAAGCUCCGGCUAACUACGUGCCAGCAGCCGCCGUAAAAC
rnacentral:rRNA from 1 species